rnacentral:rRNA from 1 species
UACGUAGGGGGCGAGCGUUGUCCGGAUUUAUUGGGCGUAAAGAGCUCGUAGGCGGCUUGGCAAGUCGGGUGUGAAACCUCCAGGCUCAACCUGGAGACGCCACUCGAUACUGCCAUGGCUAGAGUCCGGUAGGGGACCACGGAAUUCCUGGUGUAGCGGUGAAAUGCGCAGAUAUCAGGAGGAACACCGGCGGCGAAGGCGGCACUCUGGGCCGGUACUGACGCUGAGGAGCGAAAGCGUGGGUAGCAAACAGG